UCCGAGUUGACCCCGGCGGUCUCCCAUGAGUCCCCGGCAUUAUCCGCUGGCAACAUGGAACGAGGGUUGCGCUCGUUGCGGGACUUAACCCAACAUCUCACGACACGAGCUGACGACAACCAUGCACCACCUGUGCAGGACCCUUGCGGACCUCCCAUCUCUGGGAGAUUUCCCUGCAUGUCAAGCCUUGGUAAGGUUCUUCGCGUUGCGUCGAAUUAAGCCACAUGCUCCGCCGCUUGUGCGGGCCCCCGUCAAUUCCUUUGAGUUUUAGCCUUGCGGCCGUACUCCCCAGGCGGGGCGCUUAAUGCGUUAGCUGCGGCACGGAGCCCGUGGAAGGAACCCCACACCUAGCGCCCAACGUUUACGGCGUGGACUAC
rnacentral:misc_RNA from 1 species